GGGGUUGUGGCUCAGUGGUAGAGUGCUUUCCCAGCAAGCAUGAAGCACUGGGUUCGAUCCCCAGCACCA
rnacentral:tRNA from 1 species